UGUGGUGUGUGUGUUGACAUUAGUGCAGCUCAUGAUGAAGGGAUUUUCCCUUCUUUUUAAAGUUUUUGAGCACACAACACAUUACCUUCAAAGCAGACAGACAUGGACUAAAGAAGACUAAAAUAUUGAAUUCAUGAGGUCUUUCAUUCAUUAUUCAGAGAAGUAUUUGAGUAUCAAAUACCAAAUUCAGUGAUAAAUGUGCGUGUUUUCCUGUUUCUAGAAAAGGCUGGUUCAGACACAGACAGACACACAGAAGAUGAUCCAGAUCAGAAAAAACAAUCAAGAGAUCCAGUACUCAGUAGAGCUGAGACAAGAGACUCACACCUCCAUAAAUUAUUUAUUUAUUUCAUCUCAAACAUUCCUCAAACCAAACUGGAUGACUAUUGUUCUGGUGAUGUUGGUAGCAAUUAUCUUUGCCAAAGAGGCGGAGAUCACUGAGCUGAAGAGGAGAAUCACUGAGCUGGAGAGAAGAGAGCUAUACAUUCAUUCAUUGGAAAGUUUUUUCUUUUUGUUUUUUCUUUUUGUUGUUUUUGUUGUUUUUUGUUAUGCAAACAGACACUGAUACAAACAGACAAAAUUGCAAUAUUUCAGAUGAGAAAUUAAAUGCAAAAUACAAAGACCAUCAAAACAAACAUAAGUGUAAUUCGGUGUGGAAAUAUAUGAACAAAGGAGCAUGUAGGGAAGUACAAAAGACAUGAAUAAAAAAAAAAAUGAAUAAAAAAAAAAUAUAUAAAUGAAAUAAAGAAAAAGAAAAAAACUUUAAUGACAAUAAUAACGAUGAUGAUAAUAAUGCAAUAAAUUAUUCCUGCGGACUAGAGAGGAAAAUCAUUGAGCAGAAGAGUGAAAACAUUGAGCUAAACAAUCAGUUGGAGGAGGUCUGACAUUUAAAAAUAAUUGUGGAUUAUUUAAAAAAAUAUAUGUUUUCAUUCCUUACAGAAGAAAAUCCUAAAUGAUGAAACACAUGACUGCAGUGAAAACGAAUCUGUAACUGCAUGAGAGGAUAAUAUGAGAGCUGUGAGAUUCCUGCUGACAUGUUGAUGGUUUUACUUUAGUUUUAUUUUCCCUCUCUUUGACGUAUUAGAAAAGAUUUGUGAUUUUGAUUUUUCUUGUGAUUUAUAUUUUUUAUGAUAUGUGAAUAAACCUCUGAUUCUGUAUAUUAAUGAAAAAAAGU